GAUAAACGCUGGCGGCGUGCCUAAAACAUGCAAGUCGAACGGUCUACGGUUUUCGGACUGUAGGUAGUGGCGGACGGCUGAGUAACACGUGGGUGACCUGCCCUCGAGCGGGGGAUAACU
rnacentral:rRNA from 1 species